ACCCCCAAUUCCCAAGAGUGGCAUAGCUUGCAUCAAUUUGGCGCUCUCAACUCGCUGCUGCUCCCCCCAAAAACCCUUGCUGUUGCUGGGGAACCAUGAGCAAGUCUCCGCGCAGAGAUCUGCAAGUCUUCGAUUUCAACGAAGAGGAUGAGGUCGCCUCCGAUAAACACCACAAUUUCCUCGCUCGCGAUUCCGAGGUCAAUAAGGUUGGCAUCAAGAGUGUUGCCAGUAUUCAUUGUGUUGAUGUAGCUGGUGCUAUGUUUAAUUUGGAAAAGGAUUGUUCUGACCCCUCUCCUGACACAGUGGAAGAUAUAUAUGAUAGUAAAGAGAAUAGUUCUGUGUUGGAAGCUGACAAAGAAUCAAAUUUGAUUAGUCAUGAAAGUCGUCAUCAUUUUAAAAUAGAUAUUCAUAACCAUAACAAACUAGAGAAAAUGGAUACAAGUGGUGAAGUAUCUUCACCUGAAACAAGCCAGAAUGAAUCAAUUGAUGUCAAUUCAGAGGCUGAUGAUAGCAUGGAUGAGAGUGCUCCAACAAGUCCUGCUUCGGAUUUUCCAGAGAAUGGUGUGUCAUUAAAUGGUUGUGGACUGAAUGGCACAGACAAUUCUGACAUGGAUGACACAAAUACAGAAGUUGUUCUUCAUCCUGAUUAUGUCAUAUACCAGGAUAAUUAUUAUCUGGGGCCAAAGUUAACCUUUUCACCUUGUUUUGUCAAGAUCAAUGUUUCAACUACAUGUAUAAAGCAAGAAGCUUUUGAUCUUGAAUGGACAGUUGAUGAUCUCAUUGACAUUAAUUGUCAGUUGUUUCAAAGUAGUGGAACUGUCGUGAUAAAGCUUCGAGUAAUAUCAAGUAAUGCAAGCCAAUCAAAACAUGUAAGCGAUGCUUCAGGCAUUGAGGAAUUGGAAAUUGCGGUUGCUGAUUACAAUUGGUCUCUUAGACAUAGACAAAUCACAUCUCUUAAUCUGAAAUACUUGGCUUCUUGGAACAUGGCUCUUCGUGCGGAUGUAGAAGGCAAUAAAACUGAUUCACGUGGGUCAAGAUGCUACUUCCCCAAUUUUGAGGAGCCUUUCGAUGAUGUUAUCUAUCCGAAAGGGGAUCCAGAUGCUGUUUCCCUAAGCAAGAGAGAUGUAGAUCUCUUGCAACCAGACACAUUCAUUAAUGACACAAUUAUUGAUUUUUACAUCCAGUAUCUCAAGAAUCAAAUACCGGACAUGGAAAAGCAUAGAUUUCAUUUUUUUAAUAGUUUCUUCUUUAGAAAGUUGGCUGAUAUGGACAAAAAUCCGUCUAGUGCUUCUGAUGGAAAAGCAGCAUUUCUACGCGUUCGUAAAUGGACAAGAAAAGUAAAUUUAUUUGCAAAGGAUUAUAUCUUUAUUCCUGUGAACUUCAAUCUUCACUGGAGUUUAAUAGUCAUAUGCCAUCCUGGUGAAGUGGUUAAUUUUAAUGGUGAGGUCUCGGCUUAUGAUCAUUCUUGUGAAACUAUUUUCUGAGAUUUAUGUUAUUAUAUGUAUUCCAGAUAAGGAGCCGGACAAUUCACUUAAGGUACCCUGUAUAUUGCAUAUGGAUUCCAUAAAAGGAAGUCAUAGUGGUCUGAAAAACCUAGUGCAAAGUUACUUGUGGGAAGAGUGGAAAGAGAGACAUAAGGAUACUUUGGAAGAAGACCUUUCAUCAAGAUUCUUAAAUAUGCGUUUUCUUCCACUUGCGUUGCCGCAGCAAGAGAACUCAUAUGAUUGUGGCCUAUUUCUGCUUCACUACCUAGAGCUGUUCCUUGUUGAAGCACCUCUUAAUUUCAAUCCUUUCAAACUAACCAAGUUUUCCAACUUUCUCAAUGUGGACUGGUUUCUGCCUGCUGAAGCUUUUCUCAAGCGAACACUGAUCCAGAAGUUAAUCUUUGAACUUGUGGAAAAUCAUGGUUCACAUGAAAUCUCUUCCUCUGACUGUAGUGGUGAUGAUGAGUGCUUAGAAAAUAAUGAUAACAGAACUGGGAUUGAUCACCCUGAAGUCAAUAAGGAGCCAACAACUUCUCAUGCUGGGCAGGGAAUAGAAAUCACUCUAUUGUCUGGUUCAUCGUCUUUGGAUCCUCAAUCCUUUAACAAUUCAGGAUUGGUUCUUAAAGAGCUUUUUGAUCCAGGAGCUACUGCAGGAGCAAUGUUGGGACAGUGCCAAUCCUUUGACCAGCGGUCAUCUGAUUAUCGUUCAAUAUUUUCGAUGGAGGAAGACACGGAUCUUGGGGACCAGUUUAUGUACUUGGCUACAGAUCCCAACUACCAGCAAGUGGCUGGAAUUACACCUCAAACAUGUUCAUUGCCAUAUCUUCCUAGGGAUUGUGGAGAUGAGAAAUGUCAUAGACCACAAAUCUCUCUGCUAGUGGAUCGUGAUGUGGUGCAGCCAUCUUUAGAUGCAUCAAAUAGUGUCUUGGAUGAUUCAGAAGAUAUAACAGUCUGCAAAAAUUGCCUUGUUGUGAAUGAGCCUGGGUCAUCUAAUGAACCUGAACAAGGUGAGAAAACUUGUUCAGCCAUGGAAAAAGCUGAGCAUGUUAUAGAUAUUUCCAACUCGGUGGUGGGAAAUUCUCUAGACUCGAUUACGAAGUGUGAUGAUAACAAGAAUGGAGAUCUCCACUCUUCUGGUCAAGAAACUACGACAAUUUCAGUGCAGCAGUUUCCUGAUGCAUUAGAUGAUGAGGAAGCUCCAACAAUACCAUUACAACAAGUUUCUGAUGCAGUAGAUGACGAGGAAGCUCCCACAACACCAUUGAAACAAGUUUCUGAUGCAGUAGAUGAUGAGGCUGGAUGUGAUGAUGGUCAGAUGAUUGAUAGCAUGGAGCCUGAUAAUUGUGAGGAACAAGCUGCAAAGAGGAGGCGGCUUAUGCCUCUACGGUGCAGAAGUGGCGGCAUUGGGACAGAAUCCGAUUUGUAGAUAACUUGAUAUAGAUAAAUAUGGCAUCUUCUUUUACCUUUGGUUUUGAAUUAUUUCUAGGUUUUACUUUAUCAUUAUGUGAAUAGUGUCGUUGCUUGGUAGUAGUUAAUUCUGCGACCAAAACUGAGAAAUAUCUGCGGACUUUAGGUACAAUUCAACCGGGCAAUGAUAUGAUUUUUUUUUUCCUUGAUGAAAACCUUUGAAAUUCGUUCUCCCUCUGUUUCUUAUAUUCUAAGAUCCAGAUUAUGAAUUUUACGAUUGUUGCUUUU